rnacentral:miRNA from 1 species
UCUGGGUGAGGAUUCACAGGACUUU